GUGAGUCAUCGAAUCUUUGAACGCAUAUUGCGCCCUCUGGUAUUCCGGAGGGCAUGCCUGUCCGAGCGUCAUUACUACCCUCAAGCACAGCUUGUUUGUUGAGCCAGAUUGUCCCUUUUUAGUGGACAGGCUUGAAAUGCAGUCGCGAUGCCGAGUUCGGUGCCCAAGCGUAUGGGGCUUUGUCACACGCUUUUGUGGCCCAACCGGCGUUCUGUCGAUAAACCUCUAAACCCAAAAUUUGACCUCGGAUCAGGUAGGAAUACCCGCUGAACUUAAGCAUAUCAAUAAGCGGAGGA
rnacentral:misc_RNA from 1 species